rnacentral:rRNA from 1 species
GGGGUCGUGCACGCCCUGGGUGUCCUCGUACAAUCCACCCCCUCACCUUUGUGCAUCACCGCGUGGGCCUCCUUUGAAAGGGGGGCUUGCGUUUUUUUUUCACACACACAAACUUUGUCGUGUAGAACGCCUUCAUUUUUGCGGUCACACGCAAUCAAUAUAACUUUCAACAACGGAUCUCUUGGCUCUCGCAUCGAUGAAGAACGCAGCGAAAUGCGAUACGUAAUGUGAAUUGCAGAAUUCAGUGAAUCAUCGAAUCUUUGAACGCACCUUGCGCCCCUUGGCAUUCCGAGGGGCACACCCGUUUGAGUGUCGUGAAAUCCUCAACCUCCUUCCCUUUUCUGGGAAGGAAGGCUUGGACUUUUGGAGGCUUCUGCUGGCCCUGAAAGCCGGCUCCUCUUAAAGAAAUCAGUGGGAUCCCGUCCGCCGAUCCUCGACGUGAUAAGCCUUUUUGACGUCGUCUACGGGGAGAGGCAGAGGCCCACUUUCUAAACAAAACGAAAUGACCCUUUUGACCUCAAAUCGGGUGAGACUA